GCCUAGCUGGCUUAGUUGGUGGAGCGUGUGACUCUUGAUCUGCAAGUUGUGGGUUUGAGCCCCAUGUUGGGUG
rnacentral:tRNA from 1 species